rnacentral:lncRNA from 1 species
UCUCUAGAAAGGAGCAAAGAAGGAAAAGAAUCAUUGGAGGUCUCCUGGUGCCUAGCACAGGGCCAAGGGCACAGUAGAUGUGAGCCUAACACUUGUGGCCUUUGCUGAUGAAGGACAGUGAAGGGGAUAAGAAAACAUAAAGAUAUUUUGGGCUGCAAGGGAACGAACUACUGAAAAACUACUGCAUUGAUCUCAAACACUGUCAUGAAUCCCCAAGGGCCAGAGAGACACACAGCAUAGACCAAGGAAGUGAUUUUCCACCCCUGAGGCAUAACACCAGGCAGAGGCUCUAUCAGUGCCUGCUGAUAUAAUUAGCUCUG